rfam:Triticum aestivum genome assembly, contig: Triticum_aestivum_CS42_TGACv1_scaffold_405060_5BL
GAAAUACUCCCUCGGUCCCAAAAUUCUUGUCUUAGAUUUGUCUAAAUACGGAUGUAUCAAGUCAUGUUUUGGUAUUAGAUACAUCCGUAUCUAAACUAUUCUAGGACAAGAAUUUUGGGACGGAGGGAGUAUAAA